rnacentral:rRNA from 1 species
GGCUCAGGACGAACGCUGGCGGCGUGCUUAACACAUGCAAGUCGAACGGAAAGGCCCUGCUUUUGUGGGGUGCUCGAGUGGCGAACGGGUGAGUAACACGUGAGUAACCUGCCCUUGACUUUGGGAUAACUUCAGGAAACUGGGGCUAAUACCGGAUAGGAGCUCCUGCUGCAUGGUGGGGGUUGGAAAGUUUCGGCGGUUGGGGAUGGACUCGCGGCUUAUCAGCUUGUUGGUGGGGUAGUGGCUUACCAAGGCUUUGACGGGUAGCCGGCCUGAGAGGGUGACCGGCCACAUUGGGACUGAGAUACGGCCCAGACUCCUACGGGAGGCAGCAGUGGGGAAUAUUGCACAAUGGGCGGAAGCCUGAUGCAGCAACGCCGCGUGCGGGAUGACGGCCUUCGGGUCGUAAACCGCUUUCGCCUGUGACGAAGCGUGAGUGACGGUAAUGGGUAAAGAAGCACCGGCUAACUACGUGCCAGCAGCCGCGGUGAUACGUAGGGUGCGAGCGUUGUCCGGAUUUAUUGGGCGUAAAGGGCUCGUAGGUGGUUGAUCGCGUCGGAAGUGUAAUCUUGGGGCUUAACCCUGAGCGUGCUUUCGAUACGGGUUGACUUGAGGAAGGUAGGGGAGAAUGGAAUUCCUGGUGGAGCGGUGGAAUGCGCAGAUAUCAGGAGGAACACCAGUGGCGAAGGCGGUUCUCUGGGCCUUUCCUGACGCUGAGGAGCGAAAGCGUGGGGAGCGAACAGGCUUAGAUACCCUGGUAGUCCACGCUGUAAACGGUGGGUACUAGGUGUGGGGUCCAUUCCACGGGUUCCGUGCCGUAGCUAACGCUUUAAGUACCCCGCCUGGGGAGUACGGCCGCAAGGCUAAAACUCAAAGGAAUUGACGGGGCCCCGCACAAGCGGCGGAGCAUGCGGAUUAAUUCGAUGCAACGCGUAGAACCUUACCUGGGUUUGACAUGGAUCGGGAGUGCUCAGAGAUGGGUGUGCUCUUUUGGGGUCGGUUCACAGGUGGUGCAUGGCUGUCGUCAGCUCGUGUCGUGAGAUGUUGGGUUAAGUCCCGCAACGAGCGCAACCCUUGUUCACUGUUGCCAGCACGUUAUGGUGGGGACUCAGUGGAGACCGCCGGGGUCAACUCGGAGGAAGGUGGGGAUGACGUCAAGUCAUCAUGCCCCUUAUGUCCAGGGCUUCACGCAUGCUACAAUGGCUGGUACAGAGAGUGGCGAGCCUGUGAGGGUGAGCGAAUCUCGGAAAGCCGGUCUCAGUUCGGAUUGGGGUCUGCAACUCGACCUCAUGAAGUCGGAGUCGCUAGUAAUCGCAGAUCAGCAACGCUGCGGUGAAUACGUUCCCGGGGCUUGUACACACCGCCCGUCAAGUCAUGAAAGUUGGUAACACCCGAAGCCGGUGGCCUAACCGUUGUGGGGGAGCCGUCGAAGGUGGGACUGGUGAUUAGGACUAAGUCGUAACAA